UGGGGAAUUUUGGACAAUGGGCGAAAGCCUGAUCCAGCAAUGCCGCGUGUGUGAAGAAGGCCUUCGGGUUGUAAAGCACUUUUGUCCGGAAAGAAAUCCUUGGCUCUAAUACAGUCGGGGGAUGACGGUACCGGAAGAAUAAGCACCGGCUAACUACGUGCCAGCAGCCGCGGUAAUACGUAGGGUGCAAGCGUUAAUCGGAAUUACUGGGCGUAAAGCGUGCGCAGGCGGUUUGCUAAGACCGAUGUGAAAUCCCCGGGCUCAACCUGGGAACUGCAUUGGUGACUGGCAGGCUAGAGUAUGGCAGAGGGGGGUAGAUUCCACGUGUAGCAGUGAAAUGCGUAGAGAUGUGGAGGAAUACCGAUGGCGAAGGCAGCCCCCUGGGCCAAUACUGACGCUCAUGCACGAAAGCGUGGGGAGCAAACAGGAUUAGAUACCCUGGUAGUCCACGCCCUAAACGAUGUCAACUAGUUGUUGGGGAUUCAUUUCCUUAGUAACGUAGCUAACGCGUGAAGUUGACCGCCUGGGGAGUA
rnacentral:rRNA from 1 species